AUUUCAAAAGAUUGGUGUAUUAUGUGUAGUAAAUUGAGCCAAUACUGUUGACAAUGAACUCUCGGUAUAACAUUGAAGAAAUAGGUAAAAAAAUACGGAGGCAUGAGUAAGAAAGAGGUUCCCGACUGUCGAAAACAACUUGCGGUUUGUAUCGCAACGCUAUACGACAGGUGGAAUGAUUAAACAAGACUGGGCACGAAUUAAAAGGAUUGUGCAAACGAUACAGCGCAAAUUUCUCUCCCGACCUUAAACGGAGAAUUUAUUAAAACAAAUUAUUCGGCUCGGCAAACAUUCAUUAAUACGCCAACUUAAUAAAGCUUGGCUCGAGGUCGAAAGGUCGGCAUUCGCUUAGACAGUUCACGCAACUAACACCUACUCGCGCCCAGAUAAUUGAUCGCACUGGCUGAACAGCAAGAACUCUGGACAAGGAUGGGUUCAAAUGAGAUUAAUCUUCCCAUGGACCAGCGUGAAGAUGUCUUCAUGACGUCAUCAUUUAACCCCAGCGACAACAUGACGUCAUCAGGCAUGGUGAAGGAAACCUCACUCUCGGAUUCUUCACCACCGCUAACCAAAGGUAGUGAUAUUAACGAGAAGAAGCAUUUAAUUUCAAUGAAUUCGAAUGAUUCAAGCAUUAUUGGCGAAGACGAUGGCAAGAUUGUCGUGGUAGAUGGGGACAAAAAGAAUAAUGCCGGGAAUUGCUGCGAUAGAAUGGAAUACCUCUGUCAAUGUUGUAUGUGGAGGUACCAUGAUGUGGAUGAGAGUUCGAAACGAAGUUCGUGUAUGUGGAUGUUCAUGUGUCCUCCCCAUGGAAAAGUGGCAAAGAUCAUUUCUUUAGUUUUUGUUGCCUUUCUCACAUGGGCUGUGCCAUGGUCGAUCUCACCCGUGUCAGCGUCACCUGGCGGAAACUUAUUCGGCAUCAUCAUUUUAUUCCUCGCUUGCACCAUAGCUGGUAUCCUCAUCAAUAAGAUUCGAAUUCCAGGAAUUCCGCCACUGCCACCGUUGCUUGGUAUGUUGAUUAUGGGUUUCAUAUUACGUAAUGUCCCCUACAUCGACGUGGCAAAGGAUAUCGAUCAAAAGUGGUCAUCAGCGCUCAGAACAAUUGCGCUCACUGUAAUUCUAACUAGAGCAGGCUUGGGGCUUGAUGGUCGGGCACUUCUGAAACUGAAAUGGGUCCUUCUUGCUUUCGCGUGUUUCACGUCUUUAGUUGAAUGUGGAGUAGUUGCCGGAUUCUCGAUGAUCUUACUUCAAUUUCCAUUGGACUGGGGAUUCGUAAUCGGAUUCGUCCUGUGUGCUGUGUCUCCUGCUGUUGUCGUCCCCUCUCUUCUUUACCUCCAAGACAGGGGUUAUGGGGUCGAAGGGGGAAUACCCACGUUUUUGAUCGCUGGGGCAGCACUCAAUGACGUCAUUGGUAUCACGGGUUUCAACGUCGUUCUUGGCAUGAUCUUUUCCGACGGCAAUCUCGUGGAAAAGAUAAUUCACGGACCAUUAGAGCUGGUUUUUGGUAUCGGCGCCGGAGUUUUCCUCGGGGUGGUCCUUUGGUAUUUUCCUUCUCCAGAAAUGAAAGGACGUUCGGGAUACAGAACCGCGUUGCUUUUGGGUUUAGCAAUCUUUUGCGGUUUCGGAAGCAAGAUAGUUCAUUAUGCUGGGGCAGGAGCUCUCGCUACAUUAGUCAUGGCAUUUGUAGCAGGAACUCGAUGGGACAAAGAGAAGAAGGGUCCUGCAAAAACUUUCGCUCAUUUGUGGGUAAUAUUUCAACCUCUCCUGUUCGGUCUGAUCGGUGCUUCUGUCAGAAUUGAGAGCUUGGAACCAGAAACCGUUGGUCUUGGUACGGGCCUUAUUCUCAUCGGCCUUGUCUUCCGAAGCGCAGUCGCCUUCUUAUCAGUGUAUUGGUCGGUUUUUAACAUGAAAGAAAAAGUCUUCAUGACCAUUGCUUGGCUUCCAAAGGCGACCGUCCAGGUUUCACAUUGAUGGCUGCCAUUGGAGCUGUUGCCCUUGAUAUGGCCAUCGAAAACAACGCUUCAGAAGAAGUCGUAGCCUACGGCACGAAGGUUCUUACUUUAGCUGUUUUAUCCAUUCUACUCACUGCACCAACUGGUGCAGCCUUGAUUGGCCUCACUGGUCCAAAGUUACUCAAGCUCUCGCCAGAGUUUUACGAAGAAGUGGAAGAUGACGAAGAAAAGCAGGCAUAGUGUUUUGGUUCACCUGCCAUAUAGUCAGCAAAGCGGUCAUGUGUAGACGAUGCUAAACCUCGAGAAACCAACAUAACUCAAAAACAAAAUCCGCACUUGUAAAUAUCACCAGUCAAACCGAGCAAGACAAGUAAAUGCAACUUCUGUAUUUUGCAUUUUGUACAUAACGUCCGAUUUUUGAUACCGUGUAAUGUGCGUGCAAAUAAAUUUGGUUUGACCAAUGUAUGAUACA